rnacentral:rRNA from 1 species
UACAACUUUCAGCAACGGAUCUCUUGGCUCUCGCAUCGAUGAAGAACGCAGCGAAAUGCGAUAAGUAAUGUGAAUUGCAGAAUUCAGUGAAUCAUCGAAUCUUUGAACGCACCUUGCGCUCCUUGGUAUUCCGAGGAGCAUGCCUGUUUNAGUGUCAUGAAAUU